UUGAGAUUCCGUGCCGACUUUGUAGUGUAUAACGAAAGGCGCCGUUGUAAUUAAUUAUGGGAUUAUUCGACAAGCUUGCGAACUGGAUGGGCAUCAGAAAGAAGGAAAUUAAUGUCCUUUGCAUCGGCCUUGAUAACAGUGGCAAAACAACGAUAAUCAACAAGCUGAAACCUGCCGCGUCUCAGGCACAAGAUAUUGUUCCAACUGUGGGAUUUACAGUGGAAAAGUUUAUGUCACAAAGCCUUACGUUUACAGUUUUUGAUAUGUCUGGUCAAGGAAGAUAUAGGAAUCUAUGGGAACACUAUUAUAAAACUGCUCAAGCAGUAAUAUUUGUACUGGACAGCAGUGAUCAACUAAGAAUUGUGGUAGCUAAAGAAGAGUUAAAUAUUUUAUUGCAGCACCCAGAAAUUGCUGCAAGAAGAGUGCCUAUUUUAUUUUUUGCCAACAAAAUGGAUUGUAAUGGUCUUUCACCAGUACAGUGUUCACAAGCAAUGGGCCUAGAUUCAAUAAGGAAUAAACCUUGGCAUAUAUGUGCAAGUAACGCUCUCACUGGAGAAGGACUUUCUGAUGGAGUUGAGUGGCUUGAAGAUCAGAUUCGCUCAGGAAACUUUUCAGACCAAAGUGGGAAACGCAAAGGCCGUUAACCUAGCAUUAGGCACCAAGGAUUCAUGACCUUCUACAAAUUAGGCAAAAAGAAAGUUUAAUUACAUGACUGUACUUUCUGUAUAUGUCAGCAUACACACAUGGUCAAUCUUAGCUUUUAUUAUAUUGUAAUCAUUAUAUAUACUCAAUGUCCUUCCACUUGGUCCACAGUGGCUGAAACAGCAAAGCUACACUCAUCACUAUGCACUCUCUGUUACUGGUAGUCAUUAUCAAUACUUGACAACUAUUCACUGAAGUGGAGGUGAAUAGUUGUUUUAGUAUAUACUAACACAGUGAGAUAAU
rnacentral:misc_RNA from 1 species